AGAUUUCUGAGCAUCACAGAUGAGAGAGCUAGCAAGGUUCUCCUGGCUCAUCUUCCUGCAAUAGAGCGGGACUAUCUUCUAUGACUUCAUCCUUCCAUCUUGGUGGUCCUUGGAAGCCCAAAGAGAAAGGCACAGUUUCAACUUGGGAUGGACGAGACAACUUUCUAGUUAUACUAGCACAGCCAAACAUAUCCAC